rnacentral:rRNA from 1 species
CCUAAGGUAGCGAAAUUCCUUGUCGGGUAAGUUCCGACCUGCACGAAUGGCGUAAUGAUGGCCAGGCUGUCUCCACCCGAGACUCAGUGAAAUUGAACUCGCUGUGAAGAUGCAGUGUACCCGCGGCAAGACGGAAAGACCCCGUGAACCUUUACUAUAGCUUGACACUGAACAUUGAGCCUUGAUGUGUAGGAUAGGUGGGAGGCUUUGAAGUGUGGACGCCAGUCUGCAUGGAGCCGACCUUGAAAUACCACCCUUUAAUGUUUGAUGUUCUAACGUUGGCCCGUAAUCCGGGUUGCGGACAGUGUCUGGUGGGUAGUUUGACUGGGGCGGUCUCCUCCUAAAGAGUAACGGAGGAGCACGAAGGUUGGCUAAUCCUGGUCGGACAUCAGGAGGUUAGUGCAAUGGCAUAAGCCAGCUUGACUGCGAGCGUGACGGCGCGAGCAGGUGCGAAAGCAGGUCAUAGUGAUCCGGUGGUUCUGAAUGGAAGGGCCAUCGCUCAACGGAUAAAAGGUACUCCGGGGAUAACAGGCUGAUACCGCCCAAGAGUUCAUAUCGACGGCGGUGUUUGGCACCUCGAUGUCGGCUCAUCACAUCCUGGGGCUGAAGUAGGUCCCAAGGGUAUGGCUGUUCGCCAUUUAAAGUGGUACGCGAGCUGGGUUUAGAACGUCGUGAGACAGUUCGGUCCCUAUCUGCCGUGGGCGCUGGAGAACUGAGGGGGGCUGCUCCUAGUACGAGAGGACCGGAGUGGACGCAUCACUGGUGUUCGGGUUGUCAUGCCAAUGGCACUGCCCGGUAGCUAAAUGCGGAAGAGAUAAGUGCUGAAAGCAUCUAAGCACGAAACUUGCCCCGAGAUGAGUUCUCCCUGAGACUUAGAGUCUCCUGAAGGAACGUUGAAGACGACGACGUUGAUAGGCCGGGUGUGUAAGCGCAGCGAUGCGUUGAGCUAACCGGUACUAAUGAACCGUGAGGCUUAACCUU